UACGUAGGGGGCCAGCGUUGUCCGGAUUCAUUGGGCGUAAAGGGCGCGUAGGUGGCCCGGUCAGUCUUUGGUGAAAGCGCGGGGCUCAACCCUGCGUCGGCCAGGGAUACUGCCGCGGCUCGAGCACUGUAGAGGCAGGCGGAAUUCCGUGGUGUAGCGGUGAAAUGCAUAGAUAUCUGGAGGAACACCGGUGGCGAAGGCGGCAUCCUGGACCGGUAUUGACGCUGAGGCGCGAAAGCUAGGGGAGCAAACGGGG
rnacentral:rRNA from 1 species